CACGCACGGAGCGCCGGGUUACGCGCCGACGUCUGGCUGCCACGACUUGCCGUCUGCGGCGGCGGCGGCGGCGAGCGGAUCCCGCAGGGGCAGGAGGAGGAGGAGGGAGAGCCAAGGGGGCUGUGAGUGAGCGGGAGAAGCAGGGUGUGAGCCGGACUUGCCCGCGGGAGGGAGAGCGAGCGAGAGCCGAGCCAGCCAUCCGAGCCGCCUCCUCCUCCUCCCCUCGGCGUCCCGCCCCCGCCCGCCAGCCCGCCCUCCUUCCUCCUCAGCCCGCAGAGCCUAAGUGAGGCGCAGCUCGGCUAGCGCCGCUGUCCAGGACAGAUCUCGCGAGAGUGGCUGACUGGCUGUGGGGGUUGCGGCGGCAGCAGGCGGAGCCGGGGAGGGAAAGCAGCGGCGGCUGAGGCGACUGAGGCGGCGGGCGGAGCGGCAGGCGGCGGCGGCGCGGCAGCGGAGCGCAGCAUCAUGGCGGACCGAGACAGCGGCAGCGAGCAGGGUGGUGCGGCGCUGGGCUCGGGCGGCUCCCUGGGGCACCCCGGCUCGGGCUCAGGCUCCGGCGGGGGCGGUGGUGGCGGCGGGGGCGGCGGCGGCAGUGGC
rnacentral:sRNA from 1 species